rnacentral:rRNA from 1 species
GAUGAACGCUAGCUACAGGCUUAACACAUGCAAGUCGAGGGGCAGCAUUUUAGUUUGCUUGCAAACUGAAGAUGGCGACCGGCGCACGGGUGAGUAACACGUAUCCAACCUGCCGAUAACUCCGGAAUAGCCUUUCGAAAGAAAGAUUAAUACCGGAUAGCAUACGAAUAUCGCAUGAUAUUUUUAUUAAAGAAUUUCGGUUAUCGAUGGGGAUGCGUUCCAUUAGUUUGUUGGCGGGGUAACGGCCCACCAAGACUACGAUGGAUAGGGGUUCUGAGAGGAAGGUCCCCCACAUUGGAACUGAGACACGGUCCAAACUCCUACGGGAGGCAGCAGUGAGGAAUAUUGGUCAAUGGGCGAGAGCCUGAACCAGCCAAGUAGCGUGAAGGAUGAAGGCUCUAUGGGUCGUAAACUUCUUUUAUAUGGGAAUAAAGUUUUCCACGUGUGGAAUUUUGUAUGUACCAUAUGAAUAAGGAUCGGCUAACUCCGUGCCAGCAGCCGCGGUAAUACGGAGGAUCCGAGCGUUAUCCGGAUUUAUUGGGUUUAAAGGGAGCGUAGGUGGAUUGUUAAGUCAGUUGUGAAAGUUUGCGGCUCAACCGUAAAAUUGCAGUUGAAACUGGCAGUCUUGAGUACAGUAGAGGUGGGCGGAAUUCGUGGUGUAGCGGUGAAAUGCUUAGAUAUCACGAAGAACUCCGAUUGCGAAGGCAGCUCACUAGACUGUCACUGACACUGAUGCUCGAAAGUGUGGGUAUCAAACAGGAUUAGAUACCCUGGUAGUCCACACAGUAAACGAUGAAUACUCGCUGUUUGCGAUAUACAGUAAGCGGCCAAGCGAAAGCAUUAAGUAUUCCACCUGGGGAGUACGCCGGCAACGGUGAAACUCAAAGGAAUUGACGGGGGCCCGCACAAGCGGAGGAACAUGUGGUUUAAUUCGAUGAUACGCGAGGAACCUUACCCGGGCUUAAAUUGCAACAGAAUAUAUUGGAAACAGUAUAGCCGUAAGGCUGUUGUGAAGGUGCUGCAUGGUUGUCGUCAGCUCGUGCCGUGAGGUGUCGGCUUAAGUGCCAUAACGAGCGCAACCCUUAUCUUUAGUUACUAACAGGUCAUGCUGAGGACUCUAGAGAGACUGCCGUCGUAAGAUGUGAGGAAGGUGGGGAUGACGUCAAAUCAGCACGGCCCUUACGUCCGGGGCUACACACGUGUUACAAUGGGGGGUACAGAAGGCGGCUACCUGGUGACAGGAUGCUAAUCCCAAAAACCUCUCUCAGUUCGGAUCGAAGUCUGCAACCCGACUUCGUGAAGCUGGAUUCGCUAGUAAUCGCGCAUCAGCCAUGGCGCGGUGAAUACGUUCCCGGGCCUUGUACACACCGCCCGUCAAGCCAUGAAAGCCGGGGGUACCUGAAGUACGUAACCGCAAGGAGCGUCCUAGGGUAAAACUGGUAAUUGGGGCUAAGUCG